UGUUGGUAUCUUAGUGGCGGACGGGUGAGUAACGCGUGGGUAACCUGCCUUACACUGGGGGAUAACACUUAGAAAUAGGUGCUAAUACCGCAUAACAGGAGAAGACGCAUGUCUUUUCCUUGAAAACUCCGGUGGUGUAAGAUGGACCCGCGUCUGAUUAGCUGGUUGGCGGGGUAACGGCCCACCAAGGCGACGAUCAGUAGCCGGCCUGAGAGGGUGAACGGCCACAUUGGGACUGAGACACGGCCCAAACUCCUACGGAAGGCAGCAG
rnacentral:rRNA from 1 species